GAUGAACGCCGGCGGCGUGCCUAAUACAUGCAAGUCGAGCGAACGGACGAGAAGCUUGCUUCUCUGAUGUUAGCGGCGGACGGGUGAGUAACACGUGGAUAACCUACCUAUAAGACUGGGAUAACUUCGGGAAACCGGAGCUAAUACCGGAUAAUAUUUUGAACCGCAUGGUUCAAAAGUGAAAGACGGUCUUGCUGUCACUUAUAGAUGGAUCCGCGCUGCAUUAGCUAGUUGGUAAGGUAACGGCUUACCAAGGCAACGAUGCAUAGCCGACCUGAGAGGGUGAUCGGCCACACUGGAACUGAGACACGGUCCAGACUCCUACGGGAGGCAGCAGUAGGGAAUCUUCCGCAAUGGGCGAAAGCCUGACGGAGCAACGCCGCGUGAGUGAUGAAGGUCUUCGGAUCGUAAAACUCUGUUAUUAGGGAAGAACAUAUGUGUAAGUAACUGUGCACAUCUUGACGGUACCUGAUCAGAAAGCCACGGCUAACUACGUGCCAGCAGCCGCGGUAAUACGUAGGUGGCAAGCGUUAUCCCGGAAUUAUUGGGCGUAAAGCGCGCGUAUGCGGUUUUUUAAGUCUGAUGUGAAAGCCCACGGCUCCACCGUGGAGGGUCAUUGGAAACUGGAAAACUUGAGUGCAGAAGAGGAAAGUGGAAUUCCAUGUGUAGCGGUGAAAUGCGCAGAGAUAUGGAGGAACACCAGUGGCGAAGGCGACUUUCUGGUCUGUAACUGACGCUGAUGUGCGAAAGCGUGGGGAUCAAACAGGAUUAGAUACCCUGGUAGUCCACGCCGUAAACGAUGAGUGCUAAGUGUUAGGGGGUUUCCGCCCCUUAGUGCUGCAGCUAACGCAUUAAGCACUCCGCCUGGGGAGUACGACCGCAAGGUUGAAACUCAAAGGAAUUGACGGGGACCCGCACAAGCGGUGGAGCAUGUGGUUUAAUUCGAAGCAACGCGAAGAACCUUACCAAAUCUUGACAUCCUUUGACAACUCUAGAGAUAGAGCUUUCCCCUUCGGGGGACAAAGUGACAGGUGGUGCAUGGUUGUCGUCAGCUCGUGUCGUGAGGUGUUGGGUUAAGUCCCGCAACGAGCGCAACCCUUAAGCUUAGUUGCCAUCAUUAAGUUGGGCACUCUAAGUUGACUGCCGGUGACAAACCGGAGGAAGGUGGGGAUGACGUCAAAUCAUCAUGCCCCUUAUGAUUUGGGCUACACACGUGCUACAAUGGACAAUACAAAGGGCAGCGAAACCGCGAGGUCAAGCAAAUCCCAUAAAGUUGUUCUCAGUUCGGAUUGUAGUCUGCAACUCGACUACAUGAAGCUGGAAUCGCUAGUAAUCGUAGAUCAGCAUGCUACGGUGAAUACGUUCCCGGGUCU
rnacentral:rRNA from 1 species